rnacentral:rRNA from 1 species
AGUGAACGCUGGCGGUAGGCCUAACACAUGCCAGUCGAACGGCAGCACAGUAAGAGCUUGCUCUUACGGGUGGCGAGUGGCGGACGGGUGAGGAAUACAUCGGAAUCUACUUUUUCGUGGGGGAUAACGUAGGGAAACUUACGCUAAUACCGCAUACGACCUACGGGUGAAAGCAGGGGAUCUUCGGACCUUGCGCGAUUGAAUGAGCCGAUGUCGGAUUAGCUAGUUGGCGGGGUAAAGGCCCACCAAGGCGACGAUCCGUAGCUGGUCUGAGAGGAUGAUCAGCCACCCUGGAACUGAGACACGGUCCAGACUCCUACGGGAGGCAGCAGUGGGGAAUAUUGGACAAUGGGCGCAAGCCUGAUCCAGCCAUACCGCGUGGGUGAAGAAGGCCUUCGGGUUGUAAAGCCCUUUUGUUGGGAAAGAAAGGCAGCAGGUUAAUACCCCGCUGUUAUGACGGUACCCAAAGAAUAAGCACCGGCUAACUUCGUG